CAAGUCGAACGAAGUAGCAAUACUUAGUGGCAGACGGGUGAGUAACAUGUGGGUAUCUUCCCUUUGGUGAGGAAUAACACGAGGAAACUUGUGCUAAUACCUCAUAAGUCUUUACGGAGAAAGCUUUAUGCGCCAAUGGAUGAGCCCGCACUUGAUUAGUUUGUUGGUGGGGUAAUGGCCUACCAAGACUGUGAUCAAUAGCUGAUUUGAGAGGAUGAUCAGCCACAUUGGGACUGAGACACGGCCCAAACUCCUACGGGAGGCAGCAGUAAGGAAUCUUGCACAAUGGAGGAAACUCUGAUGCAGCGAUGCCGCGUGAGUGAAGAAGGCCUUUGGGUUGUAAAGCUCUUUCGUCGGGGAAGAAAAUGACUGUACCCGAAUAAGAAGGUCCGGCUAACUUCGUGCCAGCAGCCGCGGUAAUACGAAGGGACCUAGCGUAGUUCGGAAUUACUGGGCUUAAAGAGUUCGUAGGUGGUUAAAAAAGUUGGUAGUGAAAUCCCAGAGCUUAACUCUGGAACUGCUAUCAAAACUUUUUAGCUAGAGUAUGAUAGAGGAAAGCAGAAUUUCUAGUGUAGAGGUGAAAUUCGUAGAUAUUAGAAAGAAUACCAAUUGCGAAGGCAGCUUUCUGGAUCAUUACUGACGCUGAGGAACGAAAGCAUGGGUAGCGAAGAGGAUUAGAUACCCUCGUAGUCCAUGCUGUAAACGAUGUGUGUUAGACGUUGGAAAUUUAUUUUCAGUGUCGCAGCGAAAGCGAUAAACACACCGCCUGGGGAGUACGACCGCAAGGUUAAAACUCAAAUGAAUUGACGGGGACCCGCACAAGUAGUGGAGCAUGUGGUUUAAUUCGAAAAUACGCGCAGAACCUUACCAACACUUGACAUGUUCGUCGCGACUUUAAGAGAUUAAAGUUUUCGGUUCGGCCGGACGAAACACAGG
rnacentral:rRNA from 1 species